rnacentral:rRNA from 1 species
AGUGAACGCUGGCGGUAGGCCUAACACAUGCAAGUCGAACGGCAGCACAGUAAGAGCUUGCUCUUACGGGUGGCGAGUGGCGGACGGGUGAGGAAUACAUCGGAAUCUACUUUUUCGUGGGGGAUAACGUAGGGAAACUUACGCUAAUACCGCAUACGACCUACGGGUGAAAGCAGGGGAUCUUCGGACCUUGCGCGAUUGAAUGAGCCGAUGUCGGAUUAGCUAGUUGGCGGGGUAAAGGCCCACCAAGGCGACGAUCCGUAGCUGGUCUGAGAGGAUGAUCAGCCACACUGGAACUGAGACACGGUCCAGACUCCUACGGGAGGCAGCAGUGGGGAAUAUUGGACAAUGGGGGCAAGCCUGAUCCAGCCAUACCGCGUGAGUGAAGAAGGCCUUCGGGUUGUAAAGCCCUUUUGUUGGGAAAGAAAAGCAGCAGGUUAAUACCCCGCUGUUCUGACGGUACCCAAAGAAUAAGCACCGGCUAACUUCGUG